UCCAUCAUCACCCGCAGGUAGUCGGUCC
rnacentral:piRNA from 1 species